GAUGAACGCUGGCGGCGUGCCUAAUACAUGCAAGUCGAGCGAACAGACGAGGAGCGUGCUCCUCUGACGUUAGCGGCGGACGGGUGAGUAACACGUGGAUAACCUACCUAUAAGACUGGGAUAACUACGGGAAACCGGAGCUAAUACCGGAUAAUAUAUUGAACCGCAUGGUUCAAUAGAGAAAGACGGUUUUGGUGUCACUUAUAGAUGGAUCCGCGCCGGAUUAGCUAGUUGGUAAGGUAACGGCUUACCAAGGCAACGAUGCGUAGCCGACCUGAGAGGGUGAUCAGCCACACUGGAACUGAGACACGGUCCAGACUCCUACGGGAGGCAGCAGUAGGGAAUCUUCCGCAAUGGGCGAAAGCCUGACGGAGCAACACCGCGUGAGUGAUGAAGGUCUUCGGAUCGUAAAGCUCUGUUAUUAGGGAAGAACAAAUGUGUAAGUAACUAUGCACGUCUUGACGGUACCUAAUCAGAAAGCCACGGCUAACUACGUG
rnacentral:rRNA from 1 species